rnacentral:lncRNA from 1 species
UGAUGAUGUUAUUUUGUGAGCGUGAUUGGUUCAAUUUUUUUGUAGGCCAUUGUAGGUAAUGUAGAGACAAUCAAUUUUAAACAGUAAAAGACACUGAAACAACUUGGGCCAUACAACACAAAGAAGAAGAAAAUGCUCCUGCCGACACCAGAUUUACCGACCAUACAACACAAAGAAGAAGAAAAUGCUCCUGCCGGAAGAAGAAAAUGCUCCUGCCGACACCAGAUUUACCGAAGUUACCAUGUAUUAUGCUUUACCAUCUUGUAGUUAUACUACUUAAUUACUCACAGAGCCAUAUUUGAUUAUGAUCAAUUUGAAGAUGAAGAGCAAGUUUUAUUAGCAUAUAAUUAAGGAAGUUUUAACAAAACACUUCUGGUACUGUUAACUUAAAAACUACAUUUGUACUUUUCUAUGGUACUAUUCAGUACACAUUUAUUUGUCAUUUUUCAUUAAAACUAAAAAAAAUUUGGACUUUUCGUUGGUUUUCUUUAUAAUUAAUGGACAUCUAGAUGUUUAAGGAAACGAGAGCAAGAUUGUCAUAAAGUGAAAAUACUAGCUUAUUAUGUUAAUUUUGAAGAUUAAGUGAGACGAAUUAAGCUUUAUGGAACUGAAUCAGUGACAAGUAAUUUUAGACUUAUGACAAGAAACUUGUGUCUUUGCCAUGUGAAAUUUGCUUUUCACUAAUCAUUCUCCCCGCAAUAAAAUUAGUAGUGCUAAAGUGAACCAAUUCCGCAAAAUACAUAAAAGCCAAUUCCAUAAAAACCAAAAAGAAAGGCUUUUUAUAUUAACACCCCACAAAAUGUUGAAUGCAUCCCAUAUUAAAAUUUAAUAUUAAAUGACUUAUUUACUCCACUAUGCAAUGACAAUUUUGACCUUAUUAGGUUUAAAAAAUAUAUAUAUAAAUUUAUAAUUACACCCCAAAUCACUUUUAGCGUAUUAUUUAUCUUCUCAACUAUCAAAACCCUCACAUCCUGCAUUGUUGAACAAAACUCUAACCAAUGAAACUACAAACAUGUUGACUGAGAAAAAUUGUUUUUGACGAAUUGAACAUGAAAUCGAUGUUUCGGAAGCUUCACAUGAGGUAAGACUUCAUAUUUUUCAUUGUUUUAGUGAUUUCGAUGACAUCGAUAAUUAUUUAAUUUUGCGUUAGAUGCAUUAUUUAAACUUCUAUAUUAAUAUUCAUCUUUUAAGGUUCAUAUUAAUCAUGAGUGUCCAGUAACAUGAGUCAUAUUAGUGCUAGUCAUAUACUACUUUUACAAAAUUGAGGAUAGCCAUUCUCCACAUAAACUCCUACUCUCAAUCUUUUGCUGUUUGAUUGACGUACGUUUCUCAUCGCGAGUUUUUCUUUCUUUUUUCUUCUUUCUUUUCUUGUCACUGGGAGAUGAUCCGUGGAAAAUGAGGUGAGACAUGGCAUGUAUUUAAAGAAAUCUGAGACUGAUUCAGUUUUGAUUUAUUAAUUAACUUCUACACCUGGAUCAUUAGCAGAGAGAGUCUUUAUUUAUCUUAUUCAAGACUAAGUCUAAAGACUUGUGAAAUAAAUCUGAGAUCGAUUCAGUUUUGAUUUGAAAUCUUUUGGCAAACUAAACGUUCAAAUGGUUAGAUUCAAUCCCUGAAAAUUAAAAAUGAGUGUUAUAAGAUUUGAAAAAUGUGGGGUGUGUUGUGACAUAUGUUCUUAUCAAUAUGUGAUUGUGUAAAUCCUAAGUAGAGAUAAAAUAGGAAUCCUUUGGGAUCUAGAAGAUCUUUCCUAAUAUACUUUGUAUUACUUGGAGAGCAAGUUUCUCUCCUCCUAAUUACUAUAAAUAAAGGCACAAGGACUGGGGAAUUAACACACAAUUCCUCAAACCUAUUCUCCAUUCUCUCUUCUUCUCUUUGCCGCACCUAUCUAUUAAAUAUAGGCCACAACACGUUAUCAGCACGCUCUUCACGCUGUGCUUAGAAGAAUUUAAAGAGAAUUUAUUCGUCUACAAUCAGGGGAGUAUUAUGUUUCAAUUAUUUUUAAUUGAUUAAAUCUUGAUUUUAUUGAAUUCAUAUAUUGUUAUUGAUUCAAUUUAUUUUUCUUCUUAUGUUGAAAGUGAUACAAGCUUGAAGAUGAAAGCCGAAAUUGAAGAAAUAAUUUUUCUGCAUCAAACCAGUUCAUUCAUAUCAUCACGCAAUCAGGUUCUUCCAAAACAACGGUU